CCUACGGGUGGCAGCAGUGGGGAAUAUUGCACAAUGGGGGAAACACUGAUGCAGCGACGCCGCGUGAGUGAGGAAGUAUUUCGGUACGUAAAGCUCUAUCAGCAGGGAAGAAAAUGACGGUACCUGACUAAGAAGCCCCGGCUAACUACGUGCCAGCAGCCGCGGUAAUACGUAGGGGGCAAGCGUUAUCCGGAUUUACUGGGUGUAAAGGGAGCGUAGACGGCAGCGCAAGUCUGGAGUGAAAUCCCAUGGCUUAACCAUGGAACUGCCUUGGAAACUGUGCAGCUAGAGUGCAGGAGAGGUAAGCGGAAUUCGUAGUGUAGCGGUGAAAUGCGUAGAUAUUAGGAGGAACACCAGUGGCGAAGGCGGCUUACUGGACUGUAACUGACGUUGAGGCUCGAAAGCGUGGAGAGCAAACAGGAUUAGAUACCCUAGUAAUC
rnacentral:rRNA from 1 species